rnacentral:rRNA from 1 species
CCUACGGGAGACAGCAGUGGGGAAUAUUGGGCAAUGGAGGCAACUCUUACCCAGCAAUGCCGCGUGAAUGAAGAAGGUCUUCGGAUUGUAAAGUUCUUUAAUUGGGGACGAAAAAAAUGACGGUACCCAAGGAAUAAGCCCCGGCUAACUACGUGCCAGCAGCCGCGGUAAUACGUAGGGGGCAAGCGUUGUUCGGAAUGACUGGGCGUAAAGGGUGUGUAGGCGGUGUAGCAAGUUAGAAGUGAAAUACCUAGGGCUUAACUCAGGUGCUGCUUCUAAAACUGCUAUACUUGAGUGCAGUAGAGGAAAGUGGAAUUCCUAGUGUAGCGGUGAAAUGCGUAGAUAUUAGGAGGAACACCAGUGGCGAAGGCGGCCUGCUGGGCUUUUACUGACGCUGAGGCUCGAAAGUGUGGGGAGCAAACAGGAUUAGAUACCCGUGUAGUC